CAGAGCCACUGGGUUAGGACUUGUGGAGCGGUGCAUGCAGGAAGGAAAGGCUGCCCUAGAGGCAACACCUGUUUGAAAUGUCCCUGUUAUCUCUGUUUUAACCUGUUCUUCAGCUCAUCUUUCCUGCCUCUCCUGGCUUCUUUAUCUCUCCAGGAGAAAGCUCUGCCUUUCUCUUGAAUUCCCCAUGUAACUCACUGUUCUGUAACCUUGCGCUUAAUUGUCUGUCUCUUCCAGUAGACGGCGAGGGGUUUAAGGACCAGGUCUCCAGAGUGCGGCCCCUGGCAGGAUAAUGAAUGAUGAGUAAACGCACGAGUGAGUGAACCAUGUGGUGGAGCCAGACGCCAUCUUGAAAAACAUAGAUGAGAGUGGUCUCCCAAGAAGCCCUUCUGAUGACCAGCGAGCUAGAACCUGAGAAAUGAGGUCAAUGACCAAACAAAGACACGGCACUGGGUAUUUCCCUGCUAGAAUGUGUGGAAAUAUAUAAUAACACCAAACCCCAAUGAUGGAAAACAAGCUGUGAGUGGAAGUGGAGGCAUUUGAUGGCCCAGCUGAGAACAAAUGGAAGCUAGGCAUAGCCGUGCACACCUGUAAUUCCAGCACUCAGGAGGCUGAACCAGAGGACUGCAGCAAGUUCAAGGCCAGCUUGAGUUACACAGCGAGUUCAAGACCAGCCUGAACUACAUAAGGAGACCCUGUCUAAAAAAAGGGACAUGAUGGAAAAUGUUAUCAUUUGUGCUUCUGAAUUGAUUUAUUCUGAACUUUUUUAUGGACUGGCAAACUCAUAUUAAUUUUUUUUUGAUACUGGGGAUUGAACUUGGGACCUUGUGCUUGCAAGGCAGGCGACAGAAACACUGAGCUAAAUUUUGUUAUAAGGGCCCUAGCUGUUUCUUUUCUUCCUUCUGUAGAAGCAGAUGUGGUCUAUUACUGGACUAUAUGCUCAGCUUUUUUAUUUUUUAUUUUGAGACAGGGUCUUGCUAGGCUGGGCUCGAACUACUGGUGUGUGCUACCCAGCCUGGCUUGUUUCUUUUUUUGGUCCCGGGGAUUGAACUCAGGACCUUGCAUUUGCGAGGCAGGAGGUGGAACCACUGAGCUAAAUCCGCAGCCUGGCUUGUUUCUUAACAAGUGCAACAAAAACAGUUUUCUUUUUUAUUAUAUCAAAUCCCCCAGAGCCUUGAGGUUGUCCUUGUCUAUUUUUUUCCCUUUCAUAUUCCCCAUUCAACCCAUUAACAAACUAUUGGUUGCAUCUUCAAAACUGUUCAGAUUCGGGUGGCUUUUUCCUGCUUUCUUCAUCUGUGCUGUUACGGAAAUAAAGUCAUCGUGCCAGGGAAUAAGCCAAAGCCUCUGGCCAGGACCAGUCACCCCUGGAUGAGGUGGUUGGUGAGUGGGUGGGGGCCCACCUCGGCCCGCCCAGUGCCUCAGACUCCCUGGGGACUGGCACUCAAGACAGGGGUGGGGCCCCAGCCGCAGCUGUCACCUCCCGGGGGAAGCCGCACCUGGUGUCCUUGCCCGCACCUGCACCAGACCCCAG
rnacentral:lncRNA from 1 species